GCUGGCGGCGUGCCUAACACAUGCAAGUCGAGCGCGAAAAGAGCAAUCUGAGUAGAGCGGCGCACGGGUGCGUAACACGUGGGUAAUCUGCCUCACGGUCUGGGAUAACCAUUCGAAAGUUUGGCUAAUACCAGUUAAGCUCACGGUGACUUCGGUCGCUGAGAGAAAAGGGGCCCGAAAGGGUCUCGCCAUGAGAUGAGCCCGCGGCCCAUCAGCUAGUUGGUGAGGUAAUGAGCUCACCAAGGCGUCGACCGGUGAGGUAACGGCUCACCAAGGCUUUGACGGACGGCCUACCAAGGCGAUGAUCGGUAGCUGGUUUGAGAGGGUGAUCGGUCACACUGGAACUGAGACACGGUCCCGACUCCUAGGGGAGGCAGCAGUGGGGAAUAUUGGACAAUGGGCGCAACCCUGAUCCAGCCAUGCCGCGUGAAUGAAGAAGGCCUUCGGGUUGUAAAGCUCUUUUGUCAGGGAAGAAACGGCUGUGGCUAAUAUCCACGGCUAAUGACGGUACCUGCAGAAUAAGCUCCGGCUAAUUCGUGCCAGCAGCCGCGGUAAUACGGAGGGUGCAAGCGUUAAUCGGAAUUACUGGGCGUAAAGCGUGCGCAGGCGGUUUGUUAAGCGAGAUGUGAAAUCCCCGGGCUCAACCUGGGAAUUGCGAUGGAGACUGCAAGGCUAGAAUCUGGCAGAGGGGGGUAGAAUUCCAUGUGUAGCGGUGAAAUGCGUAGAGAUGUGGAGGAACACCGAUGGCGAAGGCAAUCCCCUGGACCUGCUGACGCUGAGGCUCGAAAGCGUGGGGAGCAAACAGGAUUAGAUACCCUUAGUCCACGCCGUAAACGAUGACUUUUAGCCGUCGGGCAGUAUACUGUGGU
rnacentral:rRNA from 1 species